CACAGUGGGAGAAAUCGAGUGCGUUAUUUCCGAUCUCUAUUAAUAAAUUAAAUCCUGCUCAGAAUAUAAAUCGCACACGUGCGACCGUUUUGUUAGUCAUUGCAAGCAUUAGUUCUGAACUCUUGAAAGUACAAAGAUUUGGCAGAGCUUGCGAUUUCAUCUCCAGUUGUAUUUCGGUGGAUACGAAUGAAAUAGUAGAGGAUUUCGUUUGAGCCGAGCGGAAAUUGCUCGAAGAUCAGGCAGAGUUUGCGAUCAAACGUGCAGAUGCUGUUUCAGUGACGAGGAUGUCGUACCGGAGGAUCCGGUUCGGACAUUGCAGAGUCGACUCGAAGUUAUAAGGUCUAAUAAAAAUGACAGCGUAUUACUCUAAUCAAGAAAUUCGCGUAAAAAGAAGAUGCCAAGCGUGUAUGGAAAUGGAAGGAGGACAUGUGGAACAGCUUCUGUGAAGCCAGUAAAUCAUUCAUUCGAAUUUCGCGCGAUCGCGCGAAACAACAACAAACACAAACACAACACAAAGAAAACGGCCACUACAGCCCAGUGACUCGAGGCGGAGCGUGCUAUUUCCGGGUUUUCUAGAAUGAUUCCGCGCGUUCAUGAGACAAAUUACGGCACUUUUCGCGACCGUAAUCGUGACGGCAGUAAUCUCGUGAACGAUGGGAGCACCUGAAACUUGAGAGAUCCGGCAGAGUUUGUGAUACCAUACGGGCAGAUGCUGUUCCGGAGGAUGCCGCACCGGAGGAUCCGGUUCGGGCAUAGCAGGGUCGGCUUGAAGUUCGGAAAGCGGAACGCGGCCGGCCCUGACGUCCGAAUAUUUUAG